rnacentral:rRNA from 1 species
AUAGGUGAAAUUAUUAUUAUUAUGAAAGUUUGAGUAUUUUAAGGAAGCUAAUAAGCUUUAAAGAUAAACUAGGAUUAGAUACCCUAUUAUAUUGAAGUUUAAUAAAUAAAUAUUAAAUUAUUAAUAGGUAUAGCUUAAAAUUUAAAGAAUUUGGCGGUAAUUUAGUCUUGUCAGAGGAACCUGUUUAAAUUAAUCGAUACGCCUCGUAAUAUCUUGCUUGGUUUGUAUACCAUCAUUAUUAGAUGAUUUCUAAAGAAUAAAUCAUUAAAAUUAGAUUAUUAAAAAAAUUAGAUCAAGGUGCAGCUUAUAAAUAAGUUUAAAUGGGUUACAAUAAAUUUUAUUUAAAUGGAAAGGAUUAGUAAUUAGGAAGGUGGAUUUGAUAGUAUACAAGUUUAAUAAGCUUGUAAGAUAAAAGCUCUAAAUUAUGUACAUAUCGCCCGUCGCUUUC